GAUGAACGCUGGCGGCGUGCCUAAUACAUGCAAGUCGAGCGAACAGAUAAGGAGCUUGCUCCUUUGACGUUAGCGGCGGACGGGUGAGUAACACGUGGAUAACCUACCUAUAAGACUGGGAUAACUUCGGGAAACCGGAGCUAAUACCGGAUAACAUAUUGAACCGCAUGGUUCAAUAGUGAAAGGCGGCUUUGCUGUCACUUAUAGAUGGAUCCGCGCCGUAUUAGCUAGUUGGUAAGGUAACGGCUUACCAAGGCAACGAUACGUAGCCGACCUGAGAGGGUGGAACGGCCACACUGAAAUUGAGACACGGCCCAGACUCCAACGGGAGGCAGAAGUAGGGAAUCUUCCGAAAUGGGCGAAAGCCUGACGGAGAAACGCCGCGUGAGUGAUGAAGGUCUUCGAAUCGUAAACUCUGUUAUCAGGGAAGAACAAAUGUGUAAGUAACUGUGCACAUCUUGACGGUACCUGAUCAGAAAGCCACGGCUAACUACGUG
rnacentral:rRNA from 1 species